UUGUGAGGUUAAGCGACUAAGCGUACACGGUGGAUGCCCUGGCAGUCAGAGGCGAUGAAGGACGUGCUAAUCUGCGAUAAGCGUCGGUGAGGUGAUAUGAACCGUUAUAACCGGCGAUUUCCGAAUGGGGAAACCCAGUGUGUUUCGACACACUAUCAUUAACUGAAUCCAUAGGUUAAUGAGGCGAACCGGGGGAACUGAAACAUCUAAGUACCCCGAGGAAAAGAAAUCAACCGAGAUUCCCCCAGUAGCGGCGAGCGAACGGGGAGGAGCCCAGAGCCUGAAUCAGUGUGUGUGUUAGUGGAAGCGUCUGGAAAGGCGCGCGAUACAGGGUGACAGCCCCGUACACAAAAAUGCACAUAUUGUGAGCUCGAUGAGUAGGGCGGGACACGUGGUAUCCUGUCUGAAUAUGGGGGGACCAUCCUCCAAGGCUAAAUACUCCUGACUGACCGAUAGUGAACCAGUACCGUGAGGGAAAGGCGAAAAGAACCCCGGCGAGGGGAGUGAAAAAGAACCUGAAACCGUGUACGUACAAGCAGUGGGAGCCUCUUAAUGGGGUGACUGCGUACCUUUUGUAUAAUGGGUCAGCGACUUAUAUUCUGUAGCAAGGUUAACCGAAUAGGGGAGCCGAAGGGAAACCGAGUCUUAACUGGGCGUUAAGUUGCAGGGUAUAGACCCGAAACCCGGUGAUCUAGCCAUGGGCAGGUUGAAGGUUGGGUAACACUAACUGGAGGACCGAACCGACUAAUGUUGAAAAAUUAGCGGAUGACUUGUGGCUGGGGGUGAAAGGCCAAUCAAACCGGGAGAUAGCUGGUUCUCCCCGAAAGCUAUUUAGGUAGCGCCUCGUGAAUUCAUCUCCGGGGGUAGAGCACUGUUUCGGCAAGGGGGUCAUCCCGACUUACCAACCCGAUGCAAACUGCGAAUACCGGAGAAUGUUAUCACGGGAGACACACGGCGGGUGCUAACGUCCGUCGUGAAGAGGGAAACAACCCAGACCGCCAGCUAAGGUCCCAAAGUCAUGGUUAAGUGGGAAACGAUGUGGGAAGGCCCAGACAGCCAGGAUGUUGGCUUAGAAGCAGCCAUCAUUUAAAGAAAGCGUAAUAGCUCACUGGUCGAGUCGGCCUGCGCGGAAGAUGUAACGGGGCUAAACCAUGCACCGAAGCUGCGGCAGCGACGCUUAUGCGUUGUUGGGUAGGGGAGCGUUCUGUAAGCCUGUGAAGGUGUGCUGUGAGGCAUGCUGGAGGUAUCAGAAGUGCGAAUGCUGACAUAAGUAACGAUAAAGCGGGUGA
rnacentral:rRNA from 1 species